UACGGAGGGGGCUAGCGUUGUUCGGAAUUACUGGGCGUAAAGCGCACGUAGGCGGCUUUGUAAGUCGGGUGUGAAAGCCCCGGGCUCAACCUGGGAAUUGCAUUCGAGACUGAAUAGCUAGGGUACGGUAGAGGGAAGUGGAAUUUCCGGUGUAGCGGUGAAAUGCGUAGAUAUCGGAAGGAACAUCAGUGGCGAAGGCGGUUCUCUGGGCAUUACCUGACGCUGAGGAGCGAAAAAUGUGGGGAGCGAACAGG
rnacentral:rRNA from 1 species